ACCUACACCGUGAAGCUGGUCACGCCUGAGGGGGAGGUGGAGCUGAAGGUGCCCGACGACGUGUACAUCCUGGACCAGGCCGAGGAGGAAGGCAUCGAGCUGCCCUACUCCUGCCGCGCGGGCUCCUGCUCCUCCUGCGCCGGCAAGGUCGUCGCCGGCACCGUCGACCAGUCCGACCAGAGCUUCCUCGACGACGACCAGAUCGCCAGCGGCUGGGUGCUCACCUGCGCCGCCUACCCCACCUCCGACGUCGUCAUCGCCACGCACUUGGAGGACGAGCUCACCGCCGGCUCCUAAUCAUGCAUGCUUAUCUCUGUUCGUUAUUAGCUUCUUAUUCUUUACGCUCGUUACCUACUGCUUGUUGCUUUGCAAUUGCAAUUAUCUUAUUCAUCAUGUAAGCGUUGAGUUUUCAUCCGUGGAUCGAGAGACUCCCUACCAACCUUAUCUCUUCUUCGUCACGCCAAACGUCCUCGCACGUCGCGAUGUAGACACGGCCCGAUCUUUUCAUUGGUAGAGAACUCUGACAUUUACGAUCUUUGGAACUAAGUUUGAUUAUAUUCAGACCCCACAACCAAUACAUCACUGCUCCCCGUUGGUUAUCAGCCACACACAAUGUGAUUGAUUUGCCGAGAAGGCUUCCUACGAGCGAAUCGAGAACUCAAGUAAGAGCGGGGUGAACAUAAUCUUAAAUUGUAAGUAUGAAUGAAGUAUAUGAAUUUGAUAAGAGAUUCAAAUCUUGAUUCAAAAAGACUAGUCGACAAAGGCAAACAAGAUCAACAUUAGGGGCCCUGGUUCACAACUGUCGAUCUUGAUGAUACAAGUUCAACGAACAAUGCAGCAAACAAUAUAUGUUUCACAACAAAACAAGAACACAAUGAAACCCAACAACCCUAACGGGAGAAACAACGACUAAUUAAAGGGUCUUGGGCGUCAUCACCUCUAGAUGCACCCCCUAACACGAUCCACAGCCAACGAACCAAACAACAAUGUCGCAGCACAGUGGCAAAUUAUGGACAUUGACUUAUUUUGACGAUUCUUGUUGACUCAGGACGAAUCAAAAGCCAUUGGUUAGCUUAUUAAUUAUCUUUCCAUGCAUAUAUUGAUCGUCAAGAAUGGAGUAUGUAUACACUCUCGGGACUGGUCCUAAAAUCCGACAUUGAUUCCAACUUUAGUCGGACUAGGACUCGACCAUAAUGUGGAUGAGUUGGACGCCCACACUAGUCCUCCUAGUCUCUUUGGAUUGUACAUGAAGUAGUGAUGUCAUCAUCACACCCCUCUCUCCAUUGCUGCCCCCGUACACCACCGCCACUUGUUGCCCACUUCGGCGCCGGUGUCGCAUGUUCCUCGCACCACCACCGCCCGCUUGUCCCUACCUCCCCAUAGCAGUGAGGAGGUCACCGUAGCCACCAUGACCCCAUGACCUCCAAGGAGCUCUCAUUUGUGCAUCCAUGACCUCUUGCGUGAGGAGGAGCCCACCCUCUAAUUUGCUGCAAGAUUCGACUCAGUGGUGCGAGCCUGUUUGCUGGUCUGAAAAACCAUGGUUGAAAAUACUGUUCGUUGAUUUAUUGUGAGAGAAAAACACUCAUGGCUGGCAGAAAAAGUACGACUUACAAGACAAGUAGGCUCUUCACAAGAUCCCACGCCUCUUGAUGAGCUGUCUGUGGGCCUCGACCACACCAUUGACAACUCUCAUGCAGCCGCUCCCGUGUCUCUGACGACUCUGAUUGCUUUAGAAGAGCGACAGGGUGCACAAGCGGCUGCCCCUUCCACUCCAUUUGUAGGGAUGGGGCAUCCUGCGUCCCCCAAUAUGAAGGAAUACACCCUCGGUAUCCCGGUUCACUCUUUGACCCUGAAUCAAUCGUCGUCUAAAAUAGUAUGGACACACAUCCAACAUCACUCAACUCUCAAUCCAAACGCACAAUAUAUGUUCAGACAUGGUGUGGAGGUCAAUCCUAAAUGAAUUGGAAUUUAUGUCAUCAUAAUUGAUAAAACUACAAACCUCCUAUACCCAUAUAAGUUAGACCAGCUUAUAUCCUGGCACAAUACAGAAAUCGAUUCUCAUGCAAAUUAUUAGAACUAUAUAGAUGGCCAGAGUACACCCAGUCAUGACUUGUGGCUGCCACACGCACAAUAACCAAUCUGUGGCCAUCAAUUGGUCUCCACAGAUUAUUUUUCAUGUAUUGAGAGUCACCACUUUAUUUGCUCUGUAUAAUAAAUAUAUUUUUUGUAUCCUAAAAUAAGUGCACAUUUUGUACUUCGAAGAGUAAAAUAUUAUCAAAUUUAACUAGAGUUUUUUUUUUAAAAAAAAAUAUUAACAUCUGUACCUUUUAAUAAGUUUACUAUGAAAAAUACAUGAUGAGAUUUAUCUAUCCAAUGAUGUUUGUUUGAGAUCAUAAUCAUUAAAACUUUUUUGUAUGUAUUUAGUCAAACCUAAAAUUUGUUGAUGUGCACUAUAUAUUUUAGGGUGAAGGGAGUACAUACACUGUUCGUUAUUCACAUCACACACACAGUUUCUGGUGAUGUUGAGGGCCGGUAAAAUUGGUGGCCAAAAAUUGUUGGGGACGUUAUCACAUGAAAGGUUAGAGUAGGUCCGUUGUGCUUCCGGCCCCACCAAAAAGAUAAGCCUAACACGCUGCACUCGCGCCAUCCCUUCGUUUAUCUAUGUAUGUAUAUCUGCCGCCUCCUCCUCCUCCGACCCAACAACAACUCCAGCACACACACACACACACACGUAUACAGCCUCUCUUAGCUUAGCAGCUCCAGCACCGGCCGGCCGGCACCACAACAAUGGCCACCGUCCUGAGCAGCCUCCGCGCGCCGGCCUCGACCUUCCCCUCCUCUCUCCGCGUCGCGGCAGCACCGGCGGCGCCGGCCACCGUGGCGCUGCUGCCUGCGGCGGGCAACAAGGUACCGGGCAUGGCCGCCCGUGGCGCCAGGCUGCGCGCGCAGGCCACCUACAACGUGAAGCUCGUGACGCCGGAGGGGGAGGUGGAGCUGCAGUGUCCCGACGACGUGUACAUCCUGGACCAGGCCCAGGAGGAAGGCAUCGACCUGCCCUACUCCUGCCGCGCGGGGUCCUGCUCCUCCUGCGCCGGCAAGGUCGUCGCCGGCAGCGUCGACCAGUCAGACCAGAGCUUCCUCGACGACGACCAGAUCGCCGCCGGAUGGGUGCUCACCUGCCACGCCUACCCCACCUCCGACGUCGUCAUCGCCACGCACUUGGAGGACGAGCUCACCGGCUAAUCAUCAUGUGUUACAUAUGCAUGCAUGAUUGAUUAAGCGCGCGCGUAGUACUGCUGUUGUUUGUUGGUUUUGCAUGCAACUCAUGUAAGCGUGGAGUUUUC
rnacentral:lncRNA from 1 species